rnacentral:lncRNA from 1 species
GGAGAGAGGGGGUAGAGAGACUGACGGAGGGAGGGGUGUAUAGAUGUAUGAGCAGGGAGAGCCGGGUAGAGAUAGGGAUGGAUGGAGGUGGAGAGAGGGGGGUAGAGAGACUGACGGAGGGAGGGGUGUAUAGAUGUAUGAGCAGGGAGAGCCGGGUAGAGAUAGGGAUGGAUGGAGGUGGAGAGAGGGGGGUAGAGAGACUGACGGAGGGAGGGGUGUAUUCUCCUGUGUGUGUUUGGCCCCCUACCUCUUCCUUGGUGACCUAGUGAGUUAUGGUUUUCUGGGCAGGACCACUGGGGCUUUUGCUAUGGGCCAUCUUUAACUACCUGCUCUGUCAUAGUAUGGAGGCCAGGUACUGUAAGUGUUCAUGUUUAUGGGAUGUGAUGGAGGCCAGGUACUGUAAGUGUUCAUGUUUAUGGGAUGUGAUGGAGGCCAGGUACUGUAAGUGUUCAUGUUUAUGGGAUGUGAU